GUAGGUGAACCUGCGGAAGGAUCAUUACCGAGUUCAUGCCCUUACGGGUAGAUCUCCCACCCUUUGUAUACUAUACCUUUGUUGCUUUGGCGAGCCGCCUAGCUACUGGCUUCGGCUGGUAUGUGCCCGCCAGAGGACCCAAAACCCUGAAUUAUUAGUGUCGUCUGAGUAAAAUAUUUAAUAUUUAAAACUUUCAACAACGGAUCUCUUGGCUCUG
rnacentral:misc_RNA from 1 species